rnacentral:rRNA from 1 species
UACGGGGGGGGCAAGCGUUGUUCGGAAUUACUGGGCGUAAAGGGCUCGUAGGUGGCCAACUAAGUCCGACGUGAAAUCCCUAGGCUCAACCUAGGAACUGCGCUUGAGACUGGAGAACUAGAGUUCGGGAGAGGAUGGUGGAAUUCCCAGUGUAGAGGUGAAAUUCGUAGAUAUUGGGAAGAACACCGAUGGCGAAGGCAGCCAUCUGGACCGACACUGACGCUGAGGCGCGAAAGCGUGGGGAGCAAACAGG